UACGGAGGGGGCUAGCGUUGUUCGGAAUUACUGGGCGUAAAGCGCACGUAGGCGGCUUUGUAAGUUAGAGGUGAAAGCCCGGGGCUCAACUCCGGAAUUGCCUUUAAGACUGCAUCGCUAGAAUUGUGGAGAGGUGAGUGGAAUUCCGAGUGUAGAGGUGAAAUUCGUAGAUAUUCGGAAGAACACCAGUGGCGAAGGCGACUGACUGGACAAGUAUUGACGCUGAGGUACGAAAGCGUGGGGAGCAAACAGG
rnacentral:rRNA from 1 species